GAGAAACAAUAUUUGUAACAUUUCAUCAAGCUUCGUAACACAUUAAGGUUUGUUAUUUUAUAAUUUAUGUUACCCAAAAUAAUUACCAGUAAAAUCACUGAAAUUAAAACUACUAGUGAACUUCUCUCUGAAGAGAAAAAGAAGCUUUUCUUUAGAGAUGGACUUCUCAUACAUGGCAUGCAUCAUGGCUGAUUGAAAGUUGAAAGGAAAGAGUUUAAAUCCCUGGGCUAUGGCAGCAAGAAAUUUUUAAAAAUAUAAAUAUAUAUUACAAAUACAUAAAUACACAUUAUAUUGUAAAAUGUAAAUACAUAAAUAUACAAAUAUAAAUAUAGGCUGGGAACUGCUUCUGAGGCUUUCAAAAUAGCAGGUAUUAAUACAUCUUUCAAAUAGAAGAACAAUAUAAACAGAAAAAAGAAAUUAGACCCAAAUGACUAGCUGAUAUAAAAAAGACUCCCUUCCAAAGCAAGCCAUGAAUUUAAUCAUUGUAAUAAAUCAAAAUUACUUUAUGAGGAAAAGCUAUUUGAAUUUCCUCUGACCCUGAUGGUGGUCUCAUACAUGAUUAGAAAUGAAGUGCCACUGCACUCCAGCUUGGGCAACACAGUGAGACUUGGUCUCAAAAAGAAAAAAAAAAAAGAGAAAGAAAAGAAAAGAAAUAAAGGGUCCUGGUCUUUGAUGACUUUAAUGUAUCACUACGAAGACUAUAAACUAUAAAAUACAGAUAAAGAAUGAAGGAAUAACAAUUAGAACAAACCAUGUCAAGUAUAGAAAUGGAUUAUGUUAAACAACUCUUGGAUGAAAAGGAAAAAGCACAUACCAGAAUAAAAAAAAUACAAUUUAUGAGAUUUAAAACUGAUCAAAGGAGAGGAUAAUGUAUUGCUCUAAGUACUUUUGUCACUAAAAAUGAAAGAAUGAAAAUGAAUGUGUCAAAUUUUCAGCUCAAAAACCAGAAAUAAAGCAAAAUGAUAAAUUAAAAGAAAGCACAAAGAAGGAAAUAAUAAUAAAUGAAAAAUUAAUGUUAGAGAAUAGAAAAAGCAAAAAAAAAAGAUACAUAAAAAUCCUGCUUUUUAAACAAACCACUAGUUUAUUUUAUCAAGAAAAGUGGGAGAAUGAGAGAGAGGACAUGACAAAGAGAAAAUGGCCAUUUUAACAGUAAACACAAAAAAAAUUAUUGAGCUACUUUUCUCUAUUCAAAUAGAUUCAAAAACCUAUAAAAAUGAGUAAUUCGCUAGAAAAAGUUUAUCAAAAUUAACCUCACAGAAUUCUUAUAUAGUCAAAUUUCCGUAGAAAAAAAUAAGAGAGUUGUGAGGAAAUUACCUCAGAAAAGGACCAUUGCAAAAUAUUUUCACUGG
rnacentral:lncRNA from 1 species